rnacentral:rRNA from 1 species
CCUACGGGAGGCAGCAGUGGGGAAUAUUGCACAAUGGGCGCAAGCCUGAUGCAGCAACGCCGCGUGAGGGACGACGGCCUUCGGGUUGUAAACCUCUUUUAGCAGGGAAGAAGCGAAAGUGACGGUACCUGCAGAAAAAGCACCGGCUAACUACGUGCCAGCAGCCGCGGUAAUACGUAGGGUGCAAGCGUUGUCCGGAAUUAUUGGGCGUAAAGAGCUCGUAGGCGGUUUGUCACGUCUGCUGUGAAAUCCCGAGGCUCAACCUCGGGCUUGCAGUGGGUACGGGCAGACUAGAGUGCGGUAGGGGAGAUUGGAAUUCCUGGUGUAGCGGUGGAAUGCGCAGAUAUCAGGAGGAACACCGAUGGCGAAGGCAGAUCUCUGGGCCGUAACUGACGCUGAGGAGCGAAAGCAUGGGGAGCAAACAGGCUUAGAUACCCUGGUAGUCCAUGCCGUAAACGUUGGGAACUAGAUGUGGGGACCAUUCCACGGUCUCCGUGUCGUAGCUAACGCAUUAAGUCUCCGCCUGGAUACGACCAUG